AUUGAACGCUGGCGGCAGGCCUAACACAUGCAAGUCGAGCGGAUGAAGGGAGCUUGCUCCUGGAUGCAGCGGCGGACGGGUGAGUAAUGCCUAGGAAUCUGCCUGGUAGAGGGGGAUAACGUCAGGAAACGGGCGCUAAUACCGCAUACGUCCAGAGGGAGAAAGUGGGGGAUCUUCGGACCUCACGCUAUCAGAUGAGCCUAAGUCGGAUUAGCUAGUUGGUGGGGUAAAGGCCUACCAAGGCGACGAUCCGUAACUGGUCUGAGAGGAUGAUCAGUCACACUGGAACUGAGACACGGUCCAGACUCCUACGGGAGGCAGCAGUGGGGAAUAUUGGACAAUGGGCGAAAGCCUGAUCCAGCCAUGCCGCGUGUGUGAAGAAGGUCUUCGGAUUGUAAAGCACUUUAAGUUGGGAGGAAGGGCAGUAAGUUAAUACCUUGCUGUUUUGACGUUACCAACAGAAUAAGCACCGGCUAACUUCGUG
rnacentral:rRNA from 1 species